CGUAGAAAGAGAAAGAGAUGGAAAUUGCUGCUCCGUUCGUUCUCUGCCCCAUCCCUUCUUUGCUCUGUUCGUUUGCUACCCAUCUUCUCUCUUCAAUAGUGUAUUCAGAAGAGUUGGUCUAAAAUUUCCCACGGCCAAGGUGGGAUGCAAAAUUGGGUGGAUACAUAGCUUGAGGUCAUUCACAGUGAAAGCUCCUACCUAUACCUUGGAAUUUUUUAAAGGGAAUGCUCUGGAAAGUUUUUCUUAGACAAUCUGACAACAUUCUUAAAUUUCCUGGAUCAAUGGUCUGCAUUUAGGCGAAACUGAAUGAAUUUUUUUAUCCUGUAUUUCUUUGUUUGUUGCUCUACAUUUUCCUUUGGUGUAGAAUUUUGUGAUACUA